rnacentral:lncRNA from 1 species
GCUCGUCAGGCUCCAUCUUCACCACAGUGAGGUGCAGCGAUGCAAGAAAUCAAUGUCUCGUAUCUUACCUCCCCCAGAGGGAUAUCUGUGCAGGCGUGGUUUUGCAGUGCUGUGGCUGGAGGAGGAGGAACGUUGCUUUCAGUCGAGAGGUGCUGCUGCAUCACCAGCACAGCCACCCCGGGCAGUGAACACGCAGAGCAUUUGGCACCAUUAAAGCACAAUACACAACAGCAGAGUUGCACGGAAGCAGGACCCCACCUCGUUCACAUGUCAGUGUGAUUACCUCACUGCAGCCUACACUACUGGAGUAGGAAAGAAAGAGUGAUGGCAACUGUGCAUGAAGUACUCAUAUAUGAAUUCACUUCACCUCUUAAAUCAUCCACGAAACAGUAUUGGAAUGCACUGGAAAAGUCACUUAGGAAAAAGCAUUAUUUAUUGAGGCAAUCCUGACUAAGGACUUCUUGUGCUGUCCCUGAGGCAUUACUACAGCUUAACUUAGCCAACCACUUCCUUCACACAUAAACUUGUGAUACUUCAGAAAGAAUACAAGGAAUUGUGGCAAUGUAGAAUACUCUCACCAUAUAAUAGCACAGACACCUUCGUUCUUAAAAAAAAAAAAAAAAAAAAAAAAAAAAAAAAAUCCAAGCUGGUAGGAAUAUAUUUUUUCUUUUCUCAGAACAUGGUUAUUUUUUAACAGAAGGUGCUUUACUUCUCCAACACUGUUGUCACACCAUUUUCAAGGAACAAUUUAUUAGAUGUUUUCCUCUCCAAAACUUUAUCCUUUUUCAAAUCAGAUAAAGGAUUUUCUCUUAAAUACAAGCAAUUUCAAAAGAACGAUCAUUUCUCCAUUUCAAAGCUCCUGGAACAGAAGCAAAUGUAAUUUCAGCAGUCGCUUUCCCAAUCCACCGUAACUCACUGUUGUUCAGGAAGCCCUGGCAGCAUCCAGCAUCUGCCCCCAGCAAACACCCAGCUGCCACCCAGGACAGCGCUGCAGGUUGCACCGGCCAGGCAGUUCCCAGUGUUUGCAGCUGGGGGUUAAAUUCAGACACAGACCAACAAGUCUGUGGUUUCAUCACAGCUCGCCUUUGCAAAUCUAGGGCCUGUUUGUGGACACUUGAGAGCAAUUGCCCUAAGCACCUUUUUUCUUUCCUUCUCUUCUUUUGGCCCCGUUCACAGGAGCCCCAACAAGCCGUGCUUUUCAAGAUCUGCUCAUUCACUCCAUGUAGAAAUAAUCUCUUUUAUAGACCACACUAUUCCCUACUUUUUGAUAUGAAACAUUUGUUUUGGGAUCUAAAACACUAUUUUCAUCAGUACUAAUAAAUUUAACCUUUUUUUCCCCCCAAGUGCGUAUGCAGUUUGUAACUCCUAAAAUACUGAAGAAUGUUUUUUUUGUCUUUUUAUUAAUGUACAUUAAAAUGAAACUUAAGUCCCCAAACUCAGCUGCCACACAGGUCUGAAGAAAGGUUGUGCUGGCAGUUUUGAGCAGCUUUUGC